rnacentral:misc_RNA from 1 species
UCUCUUUUUGCACGUUCUUCCAUUUUAGCCAUGUAGUUUGUGAGUUCUCUACUUUCAGAUCCAACAACUUCUCUUACCUCUUCGGGUCUUCCUUCAAGAUCAUUCAACAAAUCUAUCAUAUACGGGCUUUGUUUAGCAUUUCGCAAUCUCUCUUUUUGCACGUUCUUCCAUUUUAGCCAUGUAGUUUGUGAGUUCUCUACUUUCAGAUCCAACAACUUCUCUUACCUCUUCGGGUCUUCCUUCAAGAUCAUUCAACAAAUCUAUCAUAUACGGGCUUUGUUUAGCAUUUCGCAAUCUCUCUUUUUCCCUCCUCAAUUCAUUUCUCUCCUGCUUCGACAUUUUCUCCUCGCCCAUAGAAGCAGGCGCAAAUUUGGGGGGUCGAUAUACACCAUCCUCUGCAGUGUUACUUGUUUUACUAACAAGCAUAUCAGGUUUUGGACGAUACUUCAAUAGGUCCUCCUUCUGAGUAUCUGUUCCCUUCUCACUUAUAACUGACUUCUCAGAAGCUGUGUCACUAUCUCGUGUGAGCUUCUGAAUUUGAUACUGUAGUUUCUUGUCAAUGGGGCGAAUCUUCUCCAAAAACAAUCUCAUCUCCACCAGACUCCGAACUACUGGAUGCCCUUCAAUUGAGAGUCCUUUUGCCUUGCGGAGCAAAUAAUAGACAAGUGAUUGACAAUAAUUCAGAAGUAGCAGAUGCUUCGUUUCAAGGUAACUUAUUCCAUCUGCUGUUGGAAAGUGAUCCGCUUUCACCUUUGCGGUUAAAGCUUGUACUUUUAAGCUCACUGUAUCCAAUCCUGCUUUCAUCUCCUUCAAUACCGUAACUAGUUGCGGAGCUUGCCUGCUUAUUCUUUGACUCGUUUCGACUGACGCCAUAUUUUACUACUGAUAUCGCUGAGAGUGAAGAAGAUACUCCGUUGUUGUCAAUGGCGGCUUCCUCUCUG